rnacentral:rRNA from 1 species
AAGUCGUAACAAGGUUUCCGUAGGUGAACCUGCGGAAGGAUCAUUACCUAGAGUUUGCGGGCUUUGCCUGCUAUCUCUUACCCAUGUCUUUUGAGUACUUACGUUUCCUCGGUGGGUUCGCCCGCCGAUUGGACAAUUUAAACCCUUUGCAGUUGCAAUCAGCGUCUGAAAAAAAUUAAUAAUUACAACUUUCAACAACGGAUCUCUUGGUUCUGGCAUCGAUGAAGAACGCAGCGAAAUGCGAUAAGUAGUGUGAAUUGCAGAAUUCAGUGAAUCAUCGAAUCUUUGAACGCACAUUGCGCCCCUUGGUAUUCCAUGGGGCAUGCCUGUUCGAGCGUCAUUUGUACCUUCAAGCUUAGCUUGGUGUUGGGUGUUUGUCUCGCCUUUGCGUGUAGACUCGCCUCAAAACAAUUGGCAGCCGGCGUAUUGAUUUCGGAGCGCAGUACAUCUCGCGCUUUGCACUCAUAACGACGACGUCCAAAAGUACAUUUUUACACUCUUGACCUCGGAUCAGGUAGGGAUACCCGCUGAACUUAA